CGGGGUGUAGCUCAGCCUGGUAGAGCCCUCGCUUUGGGAGCGAGUGGUCGCACGUUCGAUCCGUGUCGCCCCGA
rnacentral:tRNA from 1 species